UACGUAGGGUCCGAGCGUUGUCCGGAAUUAUUGGGCGUAAAGAGCUCGUAGGCGGUUUGUCGCGUCGGCUGUGAAAACUCGGGGCUCAACCCCGAGCCUGCAGCCGAUACGGGCAGACUAGAGUUCGGUAGGGGAGACUGGAAUUCCUGGUGUAGCGGUGAAAUGCGCAGAUAUCAGGAGGAACACCGGUGGCGAAGGCGGGUCUCUGGGCCGAUACUGACGCUGAGGAGCGAAAGCGUGGGGAGCGAACAGG
rnacentral:rRNA from 1 species